GAUAGCCGUUGUGAAUCUUCUUUUUUGAGGAUGAUCACUUGCAAACUGGUGGAGGAGUUCCGUCUUCGAAUUACGAGAUCUGAUUGAGAUUGACUAGCGUCUUCAGGUGGGAUCUGUACACUGAGCAGAAUGUCUCAUUGAGAUCUUCGUACCUGGAGCUGAUUAGGAGUGAUUUUUGUUGAUUCGGGUUGAGAAGGUUGUGAGUGGUCAUUGGCGAUGUGCCACUCAAAAUCGGGCCGCAAUACAAAAGACCGCAGACAGCCAGGGACACCGCAGAUGUAUAUGCCGACACUUACAUCUACUUUCUGAAUUCGUGCCACUUUUCCUUUGCACCUGCAUCCCAUAAUCCAUAUCAUCACCUAGCAGCAGGAGGCCAUUCAAAUCGUCGGAAAGAGGACAUUCACUUUGAGGUGCCCUUCUAUAAGAGUUCAAAGCUGCAUCCUGACUCGUCCAAAAUUUUCUAUAGCAAGUUGCGUUCAGAAAAAGUACUGGGUUAACUUUGAUGUUACAAGCAGUUGUUGGCGUUGUUCGCUACGUUAGCACCAGUCUUGAUAGAGCUCAAACAUCAAGCAUCUCAUCACGUAGAAGAAGAGUUAUAUAUAAUCAAGGAGAGGUUAUUCUAGAGAAUUUUAUGGCUCUUUACUUUCCCAACUUGAUAAGAUUUAGUACCAGGGGUGAAGAGCGUACAAGAAACAUGUAGAAUCAUUUUCGGCACAAGCAAGGCACAACACGUGAUGGCAUUGUUCCUGCAGAAAAUCACCAAGUAGCAUCAUGUAAUUCUCAGAGUGUAAAAUUGACACAUGAAGCAACCUCGUCACAAUGCAAG